AUGCUCACUUUGGCAGCACCGAUACUAAAAUUGGAACCAUGCAGAGAAGAUUAGCAUGGCCCCCCUGCGCAAAGCGUUCCAUAUCUUUUUAAGGUGGAGCAGCGGUUG